GAUGAACGCUGGCGGCGUGCUUAACACAUGCAAGUCGAACGAAGCAUUUAGAACAGAUUACUUCGGUUUGAAGUUCUUUAUGACUGAGUGGCGGACGGGUGAGUAACGCGUGGGUAACCUGCCUUGUACUGGGGGAUAGCAGCUGGAAACGGCUGGUAAUACCGCAUAAGCGCACAAUGUUGCAUGACAUGGUGUGAAAAACUCCGGUGGUAUAAGAUGGACCCGCGUCUGAUUAGCUAGUUGGUGAGAUAACAGCCCACCAAGGCGACGAUCAGUAGCCGACCUGAGAGGGUGACCGGCCACAUUGGGACUGAGACACGGCCCAGACUCCGACGGGAGGCAGCAGUGGGGAAUAUUGCACAAUGGAGGAAACUCUGAUGCAGCGACGCCGCGUGAGUGAAGAAGUAAUUCGUUAUGUAAAGCUCUAUCAGCAGGGAAGAUAGUGACGGUACCUGACUAAGAAGCGCCGGCUAAAUACGU
rnacentral:rRNA from 1 species